CUUGGUCAUUUAGAGGAAGUAAAAGUCGUAACAAGGUUUCCGUAUGUGAACCUGCGGAAGGAUCAUUAACACGUUCCAAAACCAAUCAAACCAACCUGCGAACCCGUGAGAGCUUUUUUUAUAGGUUUGUUCAUUCUAACCUAUGAUUGAUGCCGAUCUCUAACUUUAUGGCAUUGGCGUAUCUGCUCUAGUAGUGGUGCGUCCUAAUCCAUGUAGUUUGAUCACUCUUUUUUAAACGCCCUUCAUCAGCUACUGCUUGUCAGCCAGUUGACGAAUCAUAUCAUUUCAACUUCUACCAAUGCAGGUUGUGUCGAUCUAGCUGGUUUUUUAUCAGCCCGACUACUGCUUGGUUGUAUCUAUAUAUAAAAUCUAAGAGCAACUCUUAGCAAUGGAUAUCUUGGUUCUCGCACCGAUGAAGAACGCAGCGAAGUGCGAUAUGUAAUGCGAAUUGCAGAAUUCAGUGAAUCAUCAAAUCUUUGAACGCAAAUUGCGCUCUUGGGAUAGACCUAGGAGCACACCUCCAGGAGUGUCGGUAACUCACAUCGGCUUCUUCUUUCUUUCAUACAGACAGAGAGAACUAGGCGGAGAAUGAGUGUCUAAGCUUUUAUGAAAAGCUCAGUCACUUGAAAAGCAGUGCGAACAACGACUCCCGAUUGCUUCGUGUGUAUUUGCUACUAAGUAGUAGUAUACGCAAAGCAGACUAGUCGAUUCCCAGCGACGUGGAUGAGCUCUCUCUUGUAGGACUUCAACGUUGUCUUGGUGAUAUGGGUUAGUUGGGUAUCUAGCGUUUGUUUGUCUGUAGAGCCUUAGUGUGUCUUUCAUAGAAGACUACUAUCUGGCUUUACUGGAGUCGUAUUUUAUAAUACAAGCUCGCUCUUGAAUUUAGACCUCCUGUGAAGUGGGAUUACCCCCUGAAUUUAAGCAUAUUAAUAAGGGGAGGACAAGACAAUAACAAUGAUGCUCUCAGUAACGGCGAGUGAAGCGAGCAGAGCUCAAGUUGAGAAUCGGUCAUCCUUGCGGGUGAAUCGAAUUGUAGAGUUUCGACGUGUAGUCAGCGUGUGACCUGGAUGUAAGUCUCUUGAAACAGGGCAUCAGUGAGGGUGAGAAUCCCGUCUGUCAUACAGAGUUCGCCGCGUACGACACAUGUUCAUCGAGUCGAGUUGUUUGGGAUUGCAGCUCUAAUUGGGUGGUAAGUUUCAUCUAAAGCUAAAUAUAGGCGAGAGACCGAUAGCGAACAAGUACCGUGAGGGAAAGAUGAAAAGAACUUUGAAAAGAGAGUUAAAUAGUACUUGAAAUUGUUAAGAGGGAAGCGCUAGAAACUAGUCGUGUCGAGAGGAAACACGCUCAUUGCUUGGUCGCAUAUUAUGGCUAGUCAUUGUGCAAACUUGGCACACCGUAGCAUUGGGAUUGAGUAGUGGGUUUCCGUCCUCUCGAUGGGGUCAGCAUGGUUUCUAUUCGAGUGAAAAAGCUGGAUGGAAGGUGACGUUCAGUUCGCUGAACGUGUUAUAGCCAUUUAGUGCUAAUUCGUAUGGGAAUGAGGAGGUUCGAAUGCGCCACUAGGCAAGGUUUUACCUAGCAUUCGAUCGAUGCUGACGAAAUGGUUUCUAUCGACCCGUCUUGAAACACGGACC
rnacentral:rRNA from 1 species